CGUACAGGUUUCCGUAGGUGAACCUGCGGAAGGAUCAUUAUUGAUUGGUCGAAAGACCUUAUCAGAUUCUACCACCUCUGUGAACCGUUGACCUCCGGGUUAAUAAUCAAACAUCAGUGUAACGAACGUAAGAGUAUCUUAAUUAAACAAAACUUUUAACAACGGAUCUCUUGGCUCUCGCAUCGAUGAAGAACGCAGCGAAAUGCGAUAAGUAAUGUGAAUUGCAGAAUUCAGUGAAUCAUCGAAUCUUUGAACGCACCUUGCGCCUUUUGGUAUUCCGAAAGGCAUGCCUGUUUCAGUGUCACGAAAUCUCAAUCUAAUAUGUUUUCUGAACAUGUUAGCUUGGACUUGGGUGUCUGCCAGCAAUGGCUCACCUCAAAUGACUUAGUGGAACAUCCCACAUCAGUGUUAGACGUAAUAAGUUUCGUCUCUCCUUGUGGUGAUGACUGCUCAAAACCUGCCAUCGCGCACCUUUUGACUUUGACCUGAAAUCUGGUAGGGCUACCCGCUGAACUUAAGCAUAU
rnacentral:rRNA from 1 species